rnacentral:lncRNA from 1 species
GGACGGUCCGGUGCACUGAGAUGGCUCAGAAGAGACAGCGCCCACUGUCAUCAUGACUCUUACAAAUGCUCUCGAUACAGCUGUGGGUGCAGAACACUUUUACAGCCACAGACUCUAAUCCUCUCCAAACAGGAGCCUCUACCAACAGUAAAUAAGGCCAGAUCCAAUCCAAGGCUGGUCCUUCAGUCCCUGUGUCAACCCCACUGCAUCCCUGAAAAACACUUACAGAACGUGGCUGUGAUUUCAUCCUCCCAAAUGCAAGUUGGAAGAUGGAACCCCGGCCCUAACCUGUGCCCAGAGCUGGGGGAGAGGCGGGUUUCUAAUCUGGGCCGUCACUGUAUGUGCCCUGUACUUGGACCAAGGUGCCGGAGAGUGAGGCCAAAGAGGUGGAAGACAACAGCAUUUCACAGAGCAAUGGUGGACAUUGACGUACGGGGCGGCAGGGCACGUGGUAUGAUCCGAAUGGUAGAAAUGCCACCACUCCUGUUCAAUAUUCUGUAAAACUGCGAAUUUGAGAGAGGGGAGUAGGUAUAACAAAUUAGAGCUGUCUGGCAUUCUCACCUUAAUGAGGAUUAGUUUAUCAACUUGCUUUUCAAGAGGCCUCAGGACACAUACAGGUGCAUUUGGAAGAGAGAUAAAUGAAGAAGAGAGCAAGACAGUUGCUCCAGAAGGCAUGCCUGUGGGGGAAGGAGGUAUAUGGGUGGGGGGGGGGGUGCACCGCAGCAGAGAAAAAUCAGGGAAAAAGGAGACCCUCAGGCUGGAGAGAAGGAGGUUAGAGUAGCAGAAACACAAAAGCAAGAUAAGCAGAGCUGUCUUCAUAAGUUUUCUCUGAAUCUGCUUUACAACCUUUCUAGAACAAUGUGAAUUAUAAAGUAGCCCCUUAAUAUUUUUCUGAGGACUGAGUCUGGCAGCUGUGAUGAAUUACCUGGAUGUGCGCACUGCCAUUGCCAGAACAUUCCUGCUGUUUCUGAGUCCAUCCCAAAAUAGGCAGAAGCCUCAGAGUUCGUCCAUCUCGCCCGACACCAACAGGGGAGCAAGGAUCGGAGGGGCCAGGUGCACAGAAGGUGAGCAGCGUGGAUAGUUCUGGAAAACCAAAGAAACUUCUUUUCAUUCAGGAAAGAAUCCUUCUCUCCAUCUCUAAAAAAAAGGACUUUCUAGUGAUAAAAGAAAGUUUCCAAUUGCCAAUAAUAAUGAGACAGAUUAAAGAACAUUCGCAAAGAUUGUCAAGGCAAUUGUAGUAAUGUCAAUAAAGGCUGGAAAUAAAGUCA